GUCAUCAUCCACAGUACCUCUGGACAAGGAGGAAAAGAACCAUUUCCACUAACCCCUGGACGGAGGUGCAGGGAGCGUCAAUAGUAUCCCUGAAAACUUCAAAUGCACCAGGGGGGUCAGCACCCAGGGAAGAGCCACAGGAGGCCACUCCUGAUGGAUUCUGAUGACUAUCUUUGCUCAAGUGUUAGGAGGAGGCUUCUUUCUCUCUGCCUCUGGCAACCCUGGGCCCGAGAAGUCCCAGGCACUCCGGGGGUCCUUCCUGCUCAUCACAGCCCCACCCAGGAGGCCUGGCUCACUCUGCAAUGAUGAUGUGAGAAUGAGCAGGUCUGCCUAGUGCCAGAGCCUGUGGUUGGAUUUUCGGCUGAGGCCAAGAGAAAUAAACAAGCCUCCUCCUUCCCUCUGCACGCUACAGGAAGAGCAGCUCGCUGGCUGCAAGGGGACCCUCCACCCUGCCUAUGGGGCACAGCAGCCCACAGCAUUCCUUCCAGAAACGAAGCACUGGCAGGCCUGGGUCCCCAUAAGAUGGAACACAAAGGGGUGGGCAGCUGACCUCAACAGCCAGCCCUUGGGAUUCCAAACCUUCUCUUAUCCCCCAACUUUGUGAUGUUAAUUUCUCCCUGGAUAAAGCUCUCUAAUAACCUGGCACAGUCUCAUCUCUCCAGAAGGGAAAAGAAGUCCUAUGGAUUCCUUUACAAGGAACCUCCAGAAUCUGCUAUGGUGUCCGCAGGGGACACUGGCACCAACUCUGGGUUUAUUAAACGCCUAACACCAGGGGCCACUUGGCCCAGGUGGAGCCUCCAUUAAUCACGGGGCUCUCUGUGUCGUGGCCCCAAGGCGGGCAGCAGAUGGCCUCUGCCCGAGCCAAUAUGAGCUGCAGCCUAAUUACAAGGGACGGUGACCCCAGGGAGCAGAGUUCAGGCUCCGGUCAUAGCUGCACCCAGGAGCCAGCUGCUUCCCAGGCCUGCAGAGCCAGGGGAGAGGUUUGGAGGACCGGCACUGAAUGACAUGAUCCAAAGCACGCCAAGCUGGGCUGGAGGUGACGGCAGAGCCACAGUGGCCAUAGAGCCCCCACGUGAACCUACACGGAUCUGCCUGGUUUAGGUUCUGCUGAACUCCAGGGUGAGGGGGACCUGGUCUCCAUUCUCAAAGACAUGAAGAGGUUGACAAAGAAGAGUCACAGAACAGAAGUGACAAGUGUCCUGCUCCCAGCCCUGUUCACACACUCACCCAUCAAGCGUGGCAGGGACAGCCGCCUCUUACCAUCCACCUUGGGACCUGGACCUAAGUGGAGGUUUCUGGAGGGGCAGGUCCAGGGGAAAGGGUCUCCUCAGAGGCAGCCGCCAUUCAGAGGACCCGAGAUGAGAACCUCAUCACGCCCUCAUCAGACAGAGGAGAUCCGCGGUGUCUCCGAGCGUGGUCUCCCACUCCCCACCCCAGCAGCGUUCCCUCCGCUCACCCCAAGCCUAGAACAUUCUGCUUCCCCUAAGAUCAGCUGCUCACGGGGGCCGUCCUCCCCUGCUAAGCCUGGUACCCAAAGCUCCCCAGCUAUCUGGGGCUAACCACACUGACCCUGGGACUUUCAGGUCACCCGUGUGUCCCGCUCUUCUGUUUAACCUUCAGUGCCCGUGGGGUCACAGCUUCUCUCUCGUGAUAUGAGUCCUCUGGGCCUCCGAGUGCUCAUCUGCCCUGCACUGAAGGCUGAAGUUAAAUCCUGGAGAGAACUGACCCCUCUUGUGGGCAGGGCGGGCACUGUGCCCCCAGCACAGCCAGAGGGUACUGGCUGAAAUGUGUCCCUGUAAAGUGUCUCCCCUAUGCCCGUAUUUUCCUUCCAAGUGGGGAAGCCAGAGAGGCCUCCCCGAUCUUUCCCCCAGCCCCCUGGGGCAGGAAGCCUAUGGUCACCUGUCCGCAAGGAUCAGGUGGACAGACAACUAGCCCCUCCCAGGCCACACCUCAUCAACAGAGGGCCCCUCAAUUCUGCUGGUGGCCUAUGAGAGAAGGAAAAACUGAAGGAGUUGUUUACAGUAAACUCCAAACCCUUGUGCCAGAGAGGCCCACGGCUGAGCAAGGUACCCCCACCCCCACUGCCCUGAGCUGCCAACUCAGCCCAGCUCAGCACUGUGACCUCUGACCUGCCUGUGGGCCACGGGAGCCAGGCCUGCCAAUCAGCAUCUCCCAGAUACCCAUCUUGUGAAGUCCCCAGUGGCUGAGCGCUUCCCCGCCCUUCCCGGACAGCGUGGGCUACAGGGAACAUUGGGCAGGAAGACAGCCAAGCCUCCACUUUCAGCCAAGUUAUCCCCAGCAUGGCUGCUUGCGUGGGAAGCCCACAGCUGAGGGACUGUCUGCACGUGGCAUGCAGGAGUCACAAGCGCCAUCUACACCCCGGCCACGGUGAGGUCUGUCCCAGCUCCGCACACUAGCUCGGGCCAGCAAUUUCCAAAGGCACAGCCACAGGGGCCUCGGAGCAGGGACAAGGAGGACCAGCCCGCUUCACCCUCCUGGGCAGAGGUCAAGGACCCUGCCUUUGGCCCACAUUCCUUGUGGCCAAAAAUGCAGAAGCAGGCAGCGCUGGCAGAGGCACCUAGACCUUUGGGCAAAGCAGGGGCUCCACCUGACACCCCAGGCCUGGAGCACGAGAGAACCAGCCCAGGCCUCAGGUCCCCUGAUUGCCAGCGACCAGGGAAUGUGACACUUUCCGGCCUCUGCUUCCUCAUCUCUCAAUCCUAGGGGGAGAUUAGGUUGGGUGAUGU
rnacentral:lncRNA from 1 species